CGUUUCUUCGUUUCUCGCUCGUUCUCGCGUGCAUGUCCUUCCUCGCUUCUAGUACCACUUCCGUAGGUGAUCACGGUUGCAUUUAGCAUAUGCAACAAGCCCUUUAAACCCCUAGAUAGCUCUAGUGGACGAGUGUGCUCUCGUGAGGGUUUGUAGAAGAUAUACCCACAAAAUCCCAAGUCGCGAUGAAUCCACAAUUCUCUAUUCUUGCAAAUAAUGCACCAAAACCAACCUAAAAUGAUAGAAAAUCACUUCAUCACCUCAACUCGUGACCUGCACAGAAAAACAAUAAAAACACAUCAAAAGACACUAAACACUUAAGUACAAUCAACCAAUUUAAGUGGAAAUGAAGGCCUAUAAGUGUGUAUAAAUACCACUUAUC
rnacentral:lncRNA from 1 species